UUACGGCCAUAUCACACUGAAACACUAGUUCUCAUAAGAUCAACAAAGUUAAGCAACAUUGAGCCUGGUCAGUACCUAGAUGGAUGACCGCUUGGCAAUACCAGAUGCUGUAAG